GGAUUAGCUCAGUUGGUUAGAGCAUGGUGCUAUUAACACAAGGCUGUGGGUUUGAUCCCCAUAUGGGCCA